UGGAGGAAAGCAGGGGAUCGCAAGACCUUGCGCUUUUGGAGCGGCCGAUGUCUGAUUAGCUAGUUGGUAGGGUAAAGGCUUACCAAGGCAACGAUCAGUAGUUGGUCUGAGAGGACGACCAGCCACACUGGGACUGAGACACGGCCCAGACUCCUACGGGAGGCAGCAGUGGGGAAUUUUGGACAAUGGGCGAAAGCCUGAUCCAGCCAUGCCGCGUGAGUGAAGAAGGCCCUCGGGUUGUAAAGCUCUUUCAGUCGAGAAGAAAAAAUUGCGACUAAUAAUCGCAAUUCAUGACGGUAUCGACAGAAGAAGCACCGGCUAACUACGUGCCAGCAGCCGCGGUAAUACGUAGGGUGCAAGCGUUAAUCGGAAUUACUGGGCGUAAAGGGUGCGCAGGCGGCUCUGUAAGUCAGAUGUGA
rnacentral:rRNA from 1 species